rnacentral:rRNA from 1 species
CGGCGGACGGGUGAGUAACGCGUGGGUAACCUGCCUCGUACAGGGGGAUAACAGUUGGAAACGGCUGCUAAUACCGCAUAAGCGCACAGUACCGCAUGGUACGGUGUGAAAAACUCCGGUGGUAUGAGAUGGACCCGCGUCUGAUUAGGUAGUUGGUGGGGUAACGGCCUACCAAGCCGACGAUCAGUAGCCGAUCUGAGAGGAUGUACGGCCACAUUGGGACUGAGACACGGCCCAG